rnacentral:tRNA from 1 species
UAGGGUGUAGUACAGAGGUAGUACGUAGGAUUUUGGAUCCUAAGAUGUAGGUUCGACUCCUAUCUCUCUAG